UACGUAGGGGGCAAGCGUUGUCCGGAAUCAUUGGGCGUAAAGCGCGUGUAGGCGGCUUUGCAAGUCGGGUGUGAAAGCCCUCGGCUCAACCGAGGAAGUGCGCCCGAAACUGCAGAGCUUGAGUACCGGAGAGGGUGGCGGAAUUCCCCAAGUAGAGGUGAAAUUCGUAGAUAUGGGGAGGAACACCGGUGGCGAAGGCGGCCACCUGGACGGAUACUGACGCUGAGACGCGAAAGCGUGGGGAGCAAACAGG
rnacentral:rRNA from 1 species